rnacentral:lncRNA from 1 species
UAAAUUAACUAGUCAUAGGACUUCAACUAACUUCAUAUUUUGCUAGGUUCUACUCUUUUCUACUUAAAUAAGGCGUAAUGUUGUUCGUAAUAGCCAAAAAGGCAUUAGAAGUGCUUUUUCUUUUAAUUAUUGUUAUAUUUUUCACUUAGAGGGGAGUUUUAGCGCAUUUGUAAUAGUUGUUCUAGCGUGACCUGAAGGUCGGGGGUUCAAGCAGUGAACAUAACUAAAUAAUUUAAUUUCAAUUUAUUUUUCCUUUGUUUCCCAUAAAAAGUGAUCGACCACAUUUUUUUAAAAGCAAGGAUGUUAAAUAUUCGCAAAAAUAUAAGUCAAAAGUACCCUUCUUUAAUAGCAAAAUCAGAUUAAUGUAAUCUUAACUUGUUGAACUAUAGCAUUAGAUUAUUCUUUCCUUUUCUUUAUGGCUGGAAAAAUCCAAAUUAAACCAAUACUUCAAUGUCAAAUCUGUAUAUCAUAACUAAUAAAAUAAGGAAACAAAACUUCAAUUUCACUCUCAUAAAAAAAACUAAGUCUCUCAAAAUGGCUUAUUACCCUUACACCAAAGUUCAACUUUCAUUACUUAUUUUAUUAUUUAUCAACAUUGUGCAAAUGGCGACGACGACGACAACAACAACAAUAACUUAAAUGGGGUCUGGGGAGGGUAGUGUGUACGCAGAUCUUACCCCUAUCCCGAAGGGGUAGAGAGACUGUUUCCGAAAGACCCUCGGCUCAAGAGAACAAAAGGACAAAAGCAGAGAAUAUUAGUAUCACCACAGAAAUAAUAAGAAAAAAUAUGAACAUGAAAUCCAGUAGAAAGAUGCAAAGUAAAGCGAUAGCUAUUAAAUACGUCAUGCACUGAAAUAGUAAGACACAACAAUGACACUAACUAUCUUAGGUAAAAACUCUACCAGACUAGUCUCGCAAAGGUAUAAGUAAGACAAGACUCAAUUACCUCCUAACCUACAACCUUAAUACUCGACCUCCAUAACUUCCUAUUGUGCAAAUGACAAAUGCUUUUAAUUUAAAUCCAAAAAUUACCCUUAGUUUUAUAAGUGGUCUCCCUCAAAAUACUCCUUUACUCAAAGUUCAUUGUCAAUCUGAAGAUGAUGAUCUUAGAGUUCGUACACUUAAAGUUGGUGACAAAUUUGAUUUCUCAUUUCAUAUGAAUUUUAUUGGGACUACUCUUUACCAUUGUAGCUUUUCUUGGGGUUUAAAGUUCAAUAAUUUUGAUGUUUUUAAACUACAUAAGAGUUAUUGUGGAGGUAAGAUUUUCAAGAAUAUUUAUUGCACUUGGUUGAUCAAGGAUUCUGGUAUUGAUUUGGCUCUUGGUCCUAAUCCUUCACCUAAUGACUUCAAAUUUCUCUAUCCUUGGUUGUAAAAAAGAAGGGAUGUAUUACAUUUCUUUGUUAACUUGGAAAUAUAAUGUCUUUAUAUAUAAGAAGUAAUUUAUCGUAUACUUAUGUCGUAUCGGAGACAACAUCUCUACUUGCACAAGGUAAGAGUAAGGUCUGCGUACACAUUACCCUCCCCAAACCCCACUUGUGAGAAUACACUUUGUAUGUUGUUGUACUUGUAUGCACACACCCCUCUCACUACAAGAAUGACAAAUUUUGUAGCGAUUAAAGCCUCCAGAGAAACUGAAAAAGUCAUCACAAAAGAUUUUUUUGUGGCUGAGUAGGUCGAGGUUGAAAAUUGGGGGGUCGUGCCCUACCUGGUCAGCCUGACCUAAAUUAAGGUCGUUAACUAUGAGAAUCCUUACUAAAUGCGACUCCAUGAAAAGUUGACUCGAAAAACCUCAUUUCUUGUUGUGUCGCUCUAUUAUUCUCUCCGUCUUUUAUACACGUGCAAAUACAAAAAAAGUUGCACAAAUCUUACUUGAUAAAAUUAAUUUGAUUAUAAACGUUUUAGCUUGGUAUGCAAGUGUCAAAUGCUUAAUAACUUAAAUUCUUCUACAUAGUUUAAUCUCGGUCAAGUACCUGUAGAUUGUGAAUAUCUAGGUGUUAAUUUGAGACUAGAUUAGCAUCUGCAACAGAUUUUAAAUUUUCAUAAAUCACUAUAAUUUAGAGCCUAGUAACUUUAUAGUUUGCCUAAUUACCAUUCGUAGUUGCUAGUCAAUUGUUACUAAUUUAUAUCACUUGUAUUCAAACGUGCAACGAAUAUAUCAUGUGUCAACUGUAUUCAUUCGUGCAACGAAUAUAAUGUGUGUCAAUUGUAUUCGUUCGCGCAAUUAUAUUCAUUCGAGCAACAAAUAUAAUAUGUAUCAACUGUAACCAAGGCGAAAUACAAAGGUGUAUACAAAUGAUAUAACUUGUAUCAACUGUAUACUUGGUGUAUACAAUAUGUCUCAACUGUAUUUGUUCGCGCAACGAAUACAAUUGAGGCGAAAUACAGAAAUAAAGAAAAAUAAAAUAUUCUUGUUAAGAGUCAAAUCUCAAGACCUUUGCUAAUUAAGCAGGCGCUCUAACCAACUAAGCUACUAGAGCUUAUUGCUCUCUUGUUUCACUCUUGUUUCAGUUCAAAACAAUUAAGCUCUUAUUUCAUGAAUUUGCUUUAAAAUUAACAUAUAGCUGCAGAUGGUAAAUUUGCUAAAAAUAUAACUACAAAUGAUAAAUAUAGUAUAAAUAUUUAAUGUACCGCGUAAUUUUCCCUAAUUGAAACUUCAGUUUGCCAUUAGGCAAAGUGAAUUGUAUAGCCUAUUGGGCCAAGCCCAAGAAGGCCGAGAAUAAGAUUUUGUAAAACUCAAGCUGGGCCACCCAAGAAGGCCCCGAUCUUGUAAAGCUCAAAGCUUCUGAUUUCUACCGAGAUCUUUACAUAAAUAGCCAUGCGGAUUCACUAUUUAAUUUUCUAAUAUGGGUGGAACAAGGUGUUGAGUGGGCAACUAUUUAGAUUAAUUCUUCAUUUCUUUUCUGAUAAUUAGCAAUGAGUAAAUAGCCUAAUUUUCUUAUUUCAACUUUCGAGGUUUUCUACUCUUUCAGAUCAUCCCCAAAUAUUAUUAGCUUUCAUGCAAAAGCAGAGCUAAGAUUUGAAUCUUAUAAGUUCGGAAUUAUAAUCCUCUUAAGUUACUGAAUUCUAAAUUAAUAAUUUGUAUAUAUUUAUUGAAUUUUUUAAUAGAUAAUUUAAAUAAAAGCUAUUGGGUUCGACAGAAUUCGUAACCAACACAGUGUCUCCACCCCGGCUUUAAUGUAUGUCACAACAAUAGGAAUUGUAGGAAAAUAGGUACCACCAUCAACCUCUCUUUGGAACUAUUAUUAGAUUAUGACAUCAUUUCCACGGACUCUUAUAAGGCUAUUUUUUAAAUCCAUUUGUCUAAUGGGAUAAAUUUCGUUUUUAAAAGUAAUUAAUUAGUUAACCAGUCUUUUCAUUUUUCUGAGAAGCAUUUUGUCAUUAUCCAUAGUCAGUUAAAAAGGUUAAAUGGCAGUGUUCCCGAAUGUAAGAAAAAGCCUUAUUAUCAGAAAAUUUAUUUAAUUUAUGUCAUCUUACAAGUCAAUGCUUAGACUUAAGAAGAUAAAUUGAUUAUAUAAUUUUUUUAAAAAAAUAAUAAGAGUUGAAAUUUCCCAAGGCCACUCAUGCAGCAGCACCUGAUCCCAUGAACCUCUUCGUUGGCCACCAAAUAAGUAACAUAAAUUUAAUUCUUACGCGAUCAAAAUUAAUGUGGGUCAAUAAUUUUUAAAUAAUUUCUAAUAAUUUAAUAAAUCGAAUCUUCCCAAAAAAAAACCCUCUAAUCUCUUAAGUCCACUAUAGCCUCAUAAAAUAUCUAAUUUGACUUUAAUUGAGUCAAAUCGAACACUAAACAUUGCACUUUGAGCUAAAUUUACCAUCACCGGCUAUCAUAAGGAUCCUCCACUCUUAAUCAGAGGUUUCGAAUUCGAUCAAAUUUUGGAAUAAGAAAAUUCAGAGAAGAAGCAUUGUCAGAAUUCCAAGGCGUGUACCGAACACCGGAUAAAAAAUAAAAUAAAAACAUAUAACAUGAACCUAUAUACCCCUAUGAUGAUUUACCUAUUCCAUCUUAGUUGCUAAUAUAAUAUACGGAAAAUGGCAAAAUAUACCCAUGUACUAUCAGAAAAGGUCUAAAUAUACCCAUCGUUAUACUUUGAGUCCAAAUAUACCUCUGCCGUAAUACUAUUGGUUCAAAUAUACCCCUUUUUUGUUAUGCUUGUCCAAGGUGGACAUCCAAUCCUAUGUGACAGUGACUCUAAUAUUUGAUGAGGUGGAUGCCACAUGACUUGCCACCUCAGCGCCCCUAACCUAUUUUACUCCUCACUUCUAAUUUUUUCACCACUAAUAUUUCCUUCCCCUCCACCACUAUUGCCACCAUUACCGCUAUCAUGAAAAAUAUUGUAUUAUAAAUUUUAGUCUUUUAUAUAUGGAUUAAUUAGGGGCGCUAAGGUGGCAAGCCAUGUGGCAUCCACCUCAUCAAAUAUUAGUACCACGUAGGAUUAGAUGUCCACCUUGGACAAACUUAACAGAAGAUAGGUUUAUUUAAACCAAUAGUAUUACGACAAAAGUUUUGGACCCAAAGUAUAACGAAUGUUAUAUUUAAACCUUUUCUUAUAGUACAUGGGUAUAUUUAAGCAUUUGCCGUAUAAUAUAAUUACCCCUUAAAACAAAAAAUAAAAUAAAAUAAGAAUUGAAAGUAAUUAAAUUAAUAAGCAUGGUUAGUUGUGGCUUCACUAACUGUUAGCGUACACCAAGUGGCAUUUGUUGGCUUUGACUCAUCUCCAAUAUAUAUUUUCUAAUUUGUUUAUAGUUUAUUGACAACUUGUUUAUUGUUAUUAUUAUAUUGUAAUCAUCAUCAUUUUUUUGUUUACUAUAAUACGUUUUAAUUAGGUUUAGUCUAUUUCUAGGUUUACUGUGUAGAUAAAUCUCUCUAGACUCAUACAAGUGGGGGGUUUUUUUUUGGUCAAAGAGGUUGAACCUCACAGGUCGCUAAUUUGCAUUUUCAUUCAAUUUAUUAUUAUUCUUUCUAACAAUAUUGGUAAAAAUACUAUACAGUCAUCACAAAAGAUGCUAAAUAAGAUAGCUAAUUGAUGAUCUUAUACUAUAGUAAACUACGGAUUUUGAUUAUUAUCCGAUGAAUAUUAUUUGGGCCAACAUAAAAUUUGUAAAAUGAAUUCAACUAUUUUAACUUUUAAAGCUAAAUUAAUUCAACUAUUAUUUGGGCCAUAUCAUUUUUCUUAUAUCUGAAUUAGCAGGCAGAGGCAGAGCUUAGAUUUCAACUUUAUUGGUUCUGAAUUUUAAAACGGCAAUUUCAAGUGCUAAUAACUGGAAUCUAAAUUUAAUAUUUGCACAUAUUUAAUAAAUUUUUUAACACAAAUAUAUUUUUGAGCAAAAGUUACUGGGUUCUACCUAGGGGCGGAUGUACGCUUACCGAAGAAAAUUUUACUAAAAUAUAUGUAUUAAUACUGUAUGGAAACGGUUAACUAGGAAAAAAUGAUAUCACUUGACAUAAAUUGUGUCUUGAUAUGUUUGUUAUGUGCUUGAUUUUACUCUAAGAGGUAAGGUUCAAAUCUCACCUAGUACAUUUUUUACAGAAAUUCCUACUUAAUCCCCUGGUUCUACCGACCCCUAGCCAUACUUCUAGCUCAUUAUAGACCAAUAUAAGUAAACGGUUGACUAUAAUGAACAAAUUGCACCUCAUUAUAGACAAAAAAAAAAAA